CAGCCGCCGCGGUAAUACGUAGGUGGCGAGCGUUGUCCGGAUUUACUGGGUGUAAAGGGCGCGUAGGCGGGGCGGCAAGUCCGAUGUGAAAUCCCGCGGCUCAACCGUGGAACCGCAUCGGAAACUGUCGUCCUUGAGUAUCGGAGGGGAAAGCGGAAUUCCUAGUGUAGCGGUGAAAUGCGUAGAUAUUAGGAGGAACACCGGUGGCGAAGGCGGCUUUCUGGCCGAAAACUGACGCUGAGGCGCGAAAGCGUGGGGAGCAAACAGGAUUAGAUACCCUGGUAGUCCACGCCGUAAACGAUGGAUACUAGGUGUGGGAGGUAUCGACCCCUUCCGUGCCGUCGUAAACACAUUAAGUAUCCCACCUGGGGAGUACGGCCGCAAGGCUGAAACUCAAAGGAAUUGACGGGGGCCCGCACAAGCAGUGGAGUAUGUGGUUUAAUUCGAAGCAACGCGAAGAACCUUACCGGGGCUUGACAUCCCGCGCUAUUCCGGGAAACCGGGAGUUCCCUUUUCGGGACGCGGAGACAGGAGGUGCAUGGCC
rnacentral:rRNA from 1 species